UCUAUAAUUCUUUUUUUGUUG
rnacentral:piRNA from 1 species